rnacentral:lncRNA from 1 species
UAACACCCGUAUUUUCCAAAAUAAAAUAAAUAAAUAUAAAGUCCGAAAUCUCCAUUUAUUACUUCUCUAAAGUCAACUCCAAAGUCGUAAAUCCAGAUAAUAUAAUAAAACCUGAAAAUAUCGAUAAAAUCAUAAAAACCGCAAGUCUGAAACUUAAAGAGAUAAAACUCCCAAAGCACCAAUCCGAUAGUAAUCACUCCUGCUCGUCGGUCUCACCU